rnacentral:rRNA from 1 species
CGGCCGCGUCGACCCGCACAAGCGGUGGAGCAUGUGGUUUAAUUCGAAAGCAACGCGAAGAACCUUACCAAAUCUUGACAUCGGAGUGACCGCUCUUUAAUCGGAGCUUUCCUUCGGGACACUCCAGACAGGUGGUGCAUGGUUGUCGUCAGCUCGUGUCGUGAGAUGUUGGGUUAAGUCCCGCAACGAGCGCAACCCUUAUCCUCAGUAGCCAGCAGUAAGAUGGGCACUCUGUGGAGACUGCCAGGGAUAACCUGGAGGAAGGUGGGGAUGACGUCAAAUCAUCAUGCCCCUUAUGAUUUGGGCUACACACGUGCUACAAUGGCGUAAACAAAGGGAAGCGAAAGGGUGACCUGGAGCAAAUCUCAGAAAUAACGUCUCAGUUCGGAUUGUAGUCUGCAACUCGACUACAUGAAGCUGGAAUCGCUAGUAAUCGCGAAUCAGCAUGCCGCGGUCGAAUACCGUUCCCGGGUCUUGUACUACACCGCCCGUCGACGCGGCCG